AUGUAGCGCAAUGGAUAGCGCGUUGGAGUUUUAAUACAAAGGUUGUGGGUUCAAAUCCCACCUGGGAUG